rnacentral:rRNA from 1 species
UACGUAGGGUGCGAGCGUUAAUCGGAAUUACUGGGCGUAAAGCGUGCGCAGGCGGUUCGUUGUGUCGGCGGUGAAAGCCCCGGGCUUAACCUGGGAAUGGCCGUUGAAACUGGCGAACUGGAGUGUGGCAGAGGGGGGUGGAAUUCCGCGUGUAGCAGUGAAAUGCGUAGAGAUGCGGAGGAACACCGAUGGCGAAGGCAGCCCCCUGGGCUAACACUGACGCUCAGGCACGAAAGCAUGGGGAGCAAACAGG